CCCUAUGGCGGGCUAUGCGGGCAGCCUCACGGCUGGCCGGUUUCCUUUUUGUCCGGUACUACGACCCUGUAUGGCUCGCCGCCUUU
rnacentral:antisense_RNA from 1 species